CCUACGGGUGGCAGCAGUGGGGAAUAUUGGACAAUGGGGGGAACCCUGAUCCAGCCAUGCCGCGUGUGUGAAGAAGGCCCUCGGGUUGUAAAGCACUUUCAGUGAGGAAGAACGCCUGUCGGUUAAUACCCAUCAGGAAAGACAUCACUCACAGAAGAAGCACCGGCUAACUCCGUGCCAGCAGCCGCGGUAAUACGGAGGGUGCGAGCGUUAAUCGGAAUUACUGGGCGUAAAGCGCGCGUAGGUGGCUUGAUAAGCCGGUUGUGAAAGCCCCGGGCUCAACCUGGGAACGGCAUCCGGAACUGUCAAGCUAGAGUGCAGGAGAGGAAGGUAGAAUUCCCGGUGUAGCGGUGAAAUGCGUAGAGAUCGGGAGGAAUACCAGUGGCGAAGGCGGCCUUCUGGACUGACACUGACACUGAGGUGCGAAAGCGUGGGUAGCAAACAGGAUUAGAUACCCCUGUAGUC
rnacentral:rRNA from 1 species